rnacentral:rRNA from 1 species
GACGAACGCUGGCGGCGUGCCCAAUACAUGCAAGUCGAGCGAAGCGGCGGAUGGGUGAGUAACGCGUGGGUAACCUGCCCUUAAGUCUGGGAUACCAUUUGGAAACAGAUUCUAAUACCGGAUACUUAAGGAUGGACCUGCGAUGCAUUAGCUAGGUGGUAAGGUAACGGCUUACCAAUGCGAUGAUGCAUAGGCGAGUUGCGCGACUGAUAGGCCACAUUGGGACUGAGACACGGCCCAAACUCCUACGGGAGGCAGCAGUAGGGAAUCUUCCACAAUGGACGAAAGUCUGAUGGAGCAACGCCGCGUGAGUGAAGAAGGUUUUCGGAUCGUAAAGCUCUGUUGUUGGUGAAGCGGUAAUCAAAGAGAAAGUCACGGCUAACUACGUGCCAGCAGCCGCGGUAAUUG